GGCUCCGGAAGGCGCGCGGGCGGGCGCGGGGCCGGAGGGAGCGCGCGCUCGGAGCCGCGUGCAGGGUUCAGCCGUGUUUCGGUUGCCCUCUGACCUGACCCUGGGCGCACAAAGGCCUCCCGGGUGCGCCGCCAUGGCCCAGCCUUCAGUCGCUGCCAAAUUAAUGAGCCCACGUCAGGUUGGGUUUACAGCUCGGCCGGGAAGCAGCCGAGUGGAAAAUGAGCCCGGGGCGGCCGCGGGGCCGGGGAAGUCGAGGCCGCGCCGCGGCGCCCUCCGCUCCCGCUCUCGCUCUCCCUCCUGCCGCCUCCCGAGGGGGCGGGCCUGCCGGGGAACCGGCUGGUCUGCGAGCAACGGGUCUGCCCUGCUUCCCGACGCCGUCGCAGACCCCGCAGAAGUCGAUCUGCUGGUUCAUCCUGAAGUCUGGAAGACUGGCUCCCUGUGCUGACGGCUCUGCUGUCCUAUAGCUCUUUAAACACUGUGGGGAAUUCCAUUCAAGAAAAAUGACCAGACUUGAAGCUGAUAAAGCGUAAGACAUUGAUUUAUCUUAUUCCUUCCAGGUUUUUCAAACAUAGUAUAAGAAAGCACUUUCAUUUAAAAACACCCAAAAGGUCAGAAGAGCAAUGCUCUGAAGAAGCCCUCUUCCCCUGCAGCUUUGUCUGCUGGCGAGAAGCGAGAAGGUUAAGCACUGCGAGCAACUGGCAUAACUGCUGCCUCCUGCACCUUCCUCACCCCGGCUUCAAGGAGCACUGCCUUUCAGCAGUGGGGGGCCCUGCCACAGACCCCUUUUCUUCUAGUACCCUGAGCAAGGGCAGGACUAGGUCACCGCUCAUAACCCCCCACACUUACCCAUCAGAUGCCUGGUCUAGAUUCCACACACACCCCUCCUGCAUCCUGGGGGCGCUUCUAACCCUUGCAGCCCCGCUGCCUUGUCUGAGUCCACACCCUCCUCUGGAAUCUCAGUGUACUUAGAAGGUCAAGUUGCCUUUAUGAUGUCGAAUGGUCACUCCCUUUAAGGUGUUUAGUAUCUCCAAGAGUGCACACAAGUAAACUAUGAUGCACUAUAAUUAGCUUUUUAGGUAAACUAUCCCCUCAACUAAAAUUUUAAUCCCUGGGGGGGCAAUGACCAGGACCAACUGUCUGCAUUGUGCCACAGUGCAGUGCCAGAUCAAGAAACGUUACCUACGUUGAUUCCACCCCUAAUUAGAACUAAUAUAGUCUCUUCUAUAAUGCUAAGAACUAGAGUGGUGGCAGUCGGUGGGGGGACCAACUCUUUCCUCAUCAUUCAUUCCUGCUUCAUUCUAAAUUCUGUCAAUAGACUUGUGUAUCUUCUGAACCCAAACUGAGAUAGUACCAUUGAAGGAACUGAAAUUUUGAUUGGAGGAGGAGAAAGGGAGUGGGGAAAAGGAGAAGAAACUUAGGGAGGCAGAGGAUUUUGAGAAAUAAUAGGAUGGGUAUCAGUACAAAGUGAAGGUAGUGAAGGAAACAGGAGGUGCCAAGGAAUUAGGGAGCAAGAACACCACCCAAAGGUGGGCCAGAGAGAGAGAAAGGAGGUAGGCUGAGGGCAAGUUCACCUACUAAGAGGCAGCAUGGUAUUGUGGCUAAGAGCUCAGGUUCAGCACUCUCUGGCUGUAUGUCCCAGGACAGGCUAAAUGACCCUAUGAUCUUCAGUUUCCUCACCUGUGAAGUGAGGAUAGUAAUAAUACUUAUGCCACCAAGGUAUGAGGGUUAAAUAAAAUAAAAUGUACUAAAUAAACAUUAGCGAUGACUGCUCUUAAUUUCAGCCAGGGCGCCAUGUCAUAAUGUGAGGCCUUUGGCAUGCAUCUCUGUUCUCAUAUUACAGUCUACCUUAUUGGUAGAUAGUGAUGUGGGGAAAAGAGCUUUCUUCUCUUAAAUAUGAGAAAGUGACAAAGUAUCAAAAGAUACUUUAAGGAAAACUUUCUAACAAAAGACAAAAACCAAAAUGGAAAAAUAAGUAACUGGGAGGAAUUAGAGAAAAUUUUAAAGAAACACACAUACACACACAAAUAAGUCUUCCAAGUAAAAUCUUUGGUGAGAUGAGGAAAGGUAUUACAUCCAUGGAAUUAGAAAAGGAUAUUCUAAAAAAGAAACAUUGAGAACAAGAAAGAGAUUUUGGAAAUUAAAAAUUUUAAAUAUGGCAGAAAUAAAUUCAGUAAGAGAGUCAAGACAAAGUUGAAGAAAUCUUUCAGAAAAGAACCAAAAGACAAAGAGAUGGAAAAUAGGAGAAAAAAAAGGAUAAGAAAAUGAGAAGAGAAUACAGGAAAUCCAACACUCAAACUGAAUUCCAGGAAGAAAGUACAGAGAUAAUACAGGGGAAAUUUUUUUCAAAGAAACAGUACAAGAAAAUUUCCCAGAACUUACCGGGAUGGUUCUCAGACCAGAAGGGCUGAUUGGGUGCCUAACACAAAGAAUAAGAAAAGACUUAUACCAAGGACAUAAUCAUGAAAUUUCAGAAACUCACAAAUACAUAGAAACUCCAAAACCCUUCCAGAAAGAAAAACAGGUCCCAUACCAAAACCCAGGAACCAGAAUGGCAUUGAACUUCUCAAAAAUAACACUAGAAAAAGGAAAUAGAGUAAUGCCUUUAUAAUGCAAAGGAAAAAUAAUUUACAGUCUAGAAUUCUAUAUCCAGCUAAACUGCUUGUCAAAUGUGCAGAUAGAAUAAAGACAUUUUCAGACAUGCAAAUUCAAAAUUUUAUCUCCAGGUACCCUGCAACAGACACUUCUGACCCACCCAACAGCCAUCAUAAUAUUUCCUUCAUAUUAUUUUUUUAAGGCAUCACAUAGCCACGUGCUUCUAGGAAGCCAAGCCUUUUCCCAGCCCCAAGGAGUAGCCCUGAUUAAUCUAAGCCAACAAGUUAUUGGCAAGCCCUACCCCUUGCCAAUGAUUGGCUUAGAAAUGGGCAUGGAACACAACUCAGAUCAAUUAAAUCUAAGGAAAAGUCUUCAAGGGGUAUAGGAGGAUUUUCUUCACCGCAAAAAGGGGCAUAAGGAAAGGACUUGUUCUGUCAGCCAGCCUUUGUAUGAGGCUGUGUGAGGACAUGAUGAUCCAAGUUGCAGCAGUUAUCUCAUCAAGGAGAAAAUCCAAACAUCAAGGAUGGCAGAGAAGAAAGAUGAAAAGAACUCGGGUACUUGAUGAUGUCACUGCAUUCAUCACACCUGAACUAGCCAAUAUCCAGACUUCUUGUUAUGCGAGUGCCAGACUGCAAACUCUAUGCACUUGUGCUCCUUUCUCAAGCUGAACUGUAUGGUGAAAGCAAUAAUAAUUAAUAAAAAUACCUACUGUUGAUUGA